AUGUACGAAGGGCUAUAUAAAAAUAAAUUUGAUUUGAAAUUUGAUUUAGACCAAGUACCCCUAGUAGACCAAGUACCCCUAGUAGACCUAGUAGACCUAGUGCCCCUAGUAGACCUAGUACCCCUAGUACCCCUAGUAGACCUAGUACCCCUAGUAGACCUAGUGCCCCUAGUAGACCUAGUGCCCCUAGUAGACCUAGUACCCCUAGUAGACCUAGUACCCCUAGUAGACCUAGUACCCCUAGUACCCCUAGUAAACCUAGUGCCCCUAGUAGACCUAGUGCCCCUAGUAGACCUAGUAGACCUAGUACCCCUAGUAGACCUAGUGCCCCUAGUAGACCUAGUAGACCUAGUACCCCUAGUAGACCCAGUACCCUUAGUAGACCUAGUAGACCUAGUACCCCUAGUAGACCUAGUAGACCUAGUACCCCUAGUAGACCUAGUACCCUUAGUAGACCUAGUACCCCUAGUAGACCUAGUAGACCUAGUACCCCUAGUACCCCUAGUAGACCUAGUAGACCUAGUACCCCUAGUAGACCUAGUACCCCUAGUAGACCUAGUAGACCUAGUAGACCUAGUACCCCUAGUAGACCUAGUACCCCUAGUACCCCUAGUAGACCUAGUAGACCUAGUAGACCUAGUACCCCUAGUAGACCUAGUGCCCCUAGUACCCCUAGUACCCCUAGUAGACCUAGUAGACCUAGUACCCCUAGUAGACCUAGUACCCCUAGUACCCCUAGUAGACCUAGUAGACCUAGUACCCCUAGUAGACCUAGUGCCCCUAGUACCCCUAGUACCCCUAGUAGACCUAGUAGACCUAGUGCCCCUAGUAGACCUAGUGCCCCUAGUAGACCUAGUGCCCCUAGUAGAACUAGUACCCCUAGUAGAACUAGUAGACCUAGUAGACCUAGUGCCCCUAGUAGAACUAGUAUACCUAGUAGACCUAGUGUCCCUAGUAGACCUAGUAGACCUAGUGCCCCUAGUAGACUUAGUGCCAUCGAUUAUCAUCAACUGGCAUGGGAUGCUAAUAUGA
rnacentral:lncRNA from 8 species